rnacentral:lncRNA from 1 species
UUGGAGUAGCCUCUGUUAAGACUUGGGAACCUUAUGUAGAAUCUGUAAAUUCAGAUUGUCCCUGAAACCUGAGUUAAAAAUAGAUCUUUACAAUCUGCCAUUGGAUACUGUUUGAAUUUUAAUAAUUUUGGUAGAAGUCCAAUGAGUCCCAAAUUUUUACAGUAACUCACUGAUGACUUUAAGAAGCCUCUUAAACAUUUUCAGCCCCAGGUCACACUUUAU